GCCGGGAACCGGAAACAGCUGCUGCUGGGCCUCGGAAGCUCGAGGAACAACCUGGAGCGCCCCGGGGCACCUUGGAGGGCCUGGUGCCACACCCCACACGGCCAAGGACCCUCCCCGUCACAGGGAGGCCACUCACGGCCACCGCCAAGAGAGAAUAUUUUCUGACCCUGUUUUGAAAAUGGUAGAGUCAUUAGAUGCAAGGAGGCUGGAUUCCUAAUCACUAAUGUGGAAUGCUCACCACUGAAUCCUCAACUGGAUCAUGACAUGAAUGAGAAAUCACCCUUUAUUGUGUUUAUCUCAUGUGGUCAAGUUGGGCUCAGAGAAGCCCACGAGCUUAUUUGGAACCUCCUUGGGAUAAAGGAUUGAAAUGGUACAGUUCCAGCUUCAGCCACACUUCUACUCAAGCAACAUGGCCCAGGGAAUCUUCCCGCUGAGGACAGGAAGUAGAGAGACAGAGAAUGACUGAAUGAGAGACCAUCAGAGAGGCUGAGAAUAUGCAAAGCAAAGAGGCCAG